rnacentral:tRNA from 1 species
GGGGUUGUGGCUCAGUUGUAGAGCACUUGCCUGACAUGUGAGGCACUGGGUUCAAUUCUCAGCACCA